AUUGAACGCUGGCGGUAGGCUUAGCACAUGCAAGUCGUGCGAGAAAGUAUCUUCGGAUAUGAGUAGAGCGGCGGACGGGUGAGUAACGCGUAGGAAUCUACCUAGUAGAAGGGGAUAGCCCGGGGAAACUCGGAUUAAUACCGUAUACCUCCUUCGGGAGAAAGAAGGCCUCUCUUUGAAGCUUUCGCUAUUAGAUGAGCCUGCGUAAGAUUAGCUUGUUGGUGAGGUAAAGGCUCACCAAGGCGACGAUCUUUAGCGGGUCUGAGAGGACGAUCCGCCACAUUGGGACUGAGACACGGCCCAGACUCCUACGGGAGGCAGCAGUGGGGAAUAUUGGACAAUGGGCGCAA
rnacentral:rRNA from 1 species